rnacentral:rRNA from 1 species
AGAGUUUGAUCAUGGCUCAGAUUGAACGCUGGCGGCAGGCCUAACACAUGCAAGUCGAGCGGUAGCACAGAGAGCUUGCUCUCGGGUGACGAGCGGCGGACGGGUGAGUAAUGUCUGGGAAACUGCCUGAUGGAGGGGGAUAACUACUGGAAACGGUAGCUAAUACCGCAUAAUGUCGCAAGACCAAAGUGGGGGACCUUCGGGCCUCAUGCCAUCAGAUGUGCCCAGAUGGGAUUAGCUUGUAGGUGGGGUAACGGCUCACCUAGGCGACGAUCCCUAGCUGGUCUGAGAGGAUGACCAGCCACACUGGAACUGAGACACGGUCCAGACUCCUACGGGAGGCAGCAGUGGGGAAUAUUGCACAAUGGGCGCAAGCCUGAUGCAGCCAUGCCGCGUGUGUGAAGAAGGCCUUCGGGUUGUAAAGCACUUUCAGCGGGGAGGAAGGCGUUAAGGUUAAUAACCUUGGCGAUUGACGUUACCCGCAGAAGAAGCACCGGCUAACUCCGUGCCAGCAGCCGCGGUAAUACGGAGGGUGCAAGCGUUAAUCGGAAUUACUGGGCGUAAAGCGCACGCAGGCGGUCUGUCAAGUCGGAUGUGAAAUCCCCGGGCUCAACCUGGGAACUGCAUUCGAAACUGGCAGGCUAGAGUCUUGUAGAGGGGGGUAGAAUUCCAGGUGUAGCGGUGAAAUGCGUAGAGAUCUGGAGGAAUACCGGUGGCGAAGGCGGCCCCCUGGACAAAGACUGACGCUCAGGUGCGAAAGCGUGGGGAGCAAACAGGAUUAGAUACCCUGGUAGUCCACGCCGUAAACGAUGUCGAUUUGGAGGUUGUGCCCUUGAGGCGUGGCUUCCGGAGCUAACGCGUUAAAUCGACCGCCUGGGGAGUACGGCCGCAAGGUUAAAACUCAAAUGAAUUGACGGGGGCCCGCACAAGCGGUGGAGCAUGUGGUUUAAUUCGAUGCAACGCGAAGAACCUUACCUGGUCUUGACAUCCACAGAACUUACCAGAGAUGCUUUGGUGCCUUCGGGAACUGUGAGACAGGUGCUGCAUGGCUGUCGUCAGCUCGUGUUGUGAAAUGUUGGGUUAAGUCCCGCAACGAGCGCAACCCUUAUCCUUUGUUGCCAGCGGUCCGGCCGGGAACUCAAAGGAGACUGCCAGUGAUAAACUGGAGGAAGGUGGGGAUGACGUCAAGUCAUCAUGGCCCUUACGACCAGGGCUACACACGUGCUACAAUGGCAUAUACAAAGAGAAGCGACCUCGCGAGAGCAAGCGGACCUCAUAAAGUAUGUCGUAGUCCGGAUUGGAGUCUGCAACUCGACUCCAUGAAGUCGGAAUCGCUAGUAAUCGUAGAUCAGAAUGCUACGGUGAAUACGUUCCCGGGCCUUGUACACACCGCCCGUCACACCAUGGGAGUGGGUUGCAAAAGAAGUAGGUAGCUUAACCUUCGGGAGGGCGCUUACCACUUUGUGAUUCAUGACUGGGGUGAAGUCGUAACAAGGUAACCGUAGGGGAACCUGCGGUUGGAUCACCU